rnacentral:rRNA from 1 species
GACGAACGCUGGCGGCGUGCCUAAUACAUGCAAGUCGAACGCUUCUUUCCUCCCGAGUGCUUGCACUCAAUUGGAAAGAGGAGCGGCGGACGGGUGAGUAACACGUGGGUAACCUACCCAUCAGAGGGGGAUAACACUUGGAAACAGGUGCUAAUACCGCAUAACAGUUUAUGCCGCAUGGCAUAAGAGUGAAAGGCGCUUUCGGGUGUCGCUGAUGGAUGGACCCGCGGUGCAUUAGCUAGUUGGUGAGGUAACGGCUCACCAAGGCCACGAUGCAUAGCCGACCUGAGAGGGUGAUCGGCCACACUGGGACUGAGACACGGCCCAGACUCCUACGGGAGGCAGCAGUAGGGAAUCUUCGGCAAUGGACGAAAGUCUGACCGAGCAACGCCGCGUGAGUGAAGAAGGUUUUCGGAUCGUAAAACUCUGUUGUUAGAGAAGAACAAGGACGUUAGUAACUGAACGUCCCCUGACGGUAUCUAACCAGAAAGCCACGGCUAACUACGUG